UCGGUCUAGGGCUCUAGGUGUUCACAGUCAGAACAUGCUAGAGCGCUGUGCAUCGAUGGCUAUCGGUCAAGUGUUUAUAAAAUUGAGCGUUGAGGAAAGAAAGACUAACGUUAGAGAACUAUGACGAGGCAAAAGCCAUCCGAGGCGCAGUAUAAAAACUGAAGAAAUGAAGAAGAAGAGAAACGUGCCAAGGUGAAAGGUAUGCAAUUUUGAUUGUAUUAUCAACAUUUGGCGAAUGGAUCAUGUAAUCUUGCUAGUUAGCCAAGCCAACGUUAGCUAGCCAGCGUUUGUUAUUGCCAUUCAGUCUAAACUGUCAUAAGGCUAUUUUCGUUUAUUAGUAAUAAUAACAAUGUUAGUUUUGGUAUAGCGAGCUAGCCAGUGUGGUGGAAUGUUAGUUAGUUGGUAACGUUAGCUAACGUUAAGUUUACCUCAAAAAGCACAUUGACUAUCCGAGUCAAACAUUUGCCAAAUUCAACCCUGUCAUAAUGUGCGCUAUCGUUAGCUAACUAGCUCAGUGGUUCUCAACUCCAGUCCUGUUGAAUGUUUUCGUUCCAACCCAGAACUAACACAGCUGAUUCAACUGUUCUAAUAAGAUAGGCAUAGCUCUUGAUUAGUUGAAUCAGACCUGUCAGGCUGUCCAAAUGCUUACUAACUAAAUAAUAGCUACAUUUAACAAAUGGAAAUUAUUAAAUGUUGAUAAUACACAUUUUGUUAUAUCAUUUUAGAUUAACUUUUAAAAUAUCUGGGACCACCUGCUGCAUCAGUUGACAAGGAACAGCCAUGCAGCUCAGCUGUGCCGGCUUCCUCAGACCUAGAACCACAUGAAGGAAUGUCAGAACAGCAAGCUGCUCAUCCUGAUGAGAUGACCACUGAUUCCACCCUGCCACUGACCACUGUGCCUGUUUGUUCUGGCCCAGAACCACUGCAAGGAACGUCAGACCAGCCUGCUGCAUCUCAUCCUGAUUGCACCACAGAUUCCACCCAUACACUCUUCUCAGAUGCAGCAAAGACAGACGAUCCACUACCAACCGAUCCUGCUGACUGCCCUUCACAUCUCACAGACACAAUGAGGACAGAGUUUGUUCAGAGAGGACCAUAUCAGAUAACACCUGAUUUCAUUUUCCCAAAGAGAGAUGAUGGGAGAAGUUGCCACCACCAGUACUUCAGCAGGACCUUAGUAAAUGGAGAAAGGAUCAAAAGAAGUUGGGUGACAUAUUCAAAAAAGAAGAACAGUCUUUUUUGUUUUUGUUGUCAACUUUUCUCUCCAAAACAAAUUCAUUUAACAAAUGCAGGACUGUCGGAUUGGAAAAAUGCAAGUGCUGCUUUGACCAGCCAUGAAAAUAGUCCGGAACACCUGAACAAUUUGGCGUCAUGGAAAGAAUUGGCAGUUCGAUUAAAACAAAGUACAACAAUAGACAAACAAGAGCAGGCCCUCCUUGAGGCAGAGAAGAGUCGGUGGAGAGCAGUGCUGACACGACUGGUUGCUACAGUCUCUGGCAGGGCGAAAUAUGGCAUUGAGAGGAAAGACAGAAAUACUCCACUCUCCUUCAAAUGGAAACUUUUUGAAAGAGGUUGAGCUUUUGGCGCAGUUUGACCCAGUGAUGAAAGACCACACUAACAAGAUUAAAAGUCAAACAUCCCACCACAGCUACUUGGGCAAAACCAUUCAGAAUGAGUUGAUUGAAUGCAUCAGUGGAAAGAUUCUAUCUACAAUAGUGCAAGAAAUAAAGAAAUGCAAGUACUUUUCCCUCAGUUUAGAUUGCACCCCGGAUGUUAGCCACACUGAACAGCUGUCAGUAGUCAUCAGAAUUGUGACACUGGACGAAGACCCCCAGAUUAAAGAGCACUUCAUGGGAUUCCUAGUAGCAGAGCAGUCCACUGGUGAAAGUUUGUCCGCCCUGAUUUUGAAGAGGCUGGAGGAGUUGCAGAUUGCCUUUGAUGACUGCAGAGGACAGUCAUAUGACAACGGCGCAAAUAUGAGAGGGAAGAACAAGGGAGUACAGGCCAGGCUACUGCAGUUGAACCCAGAGCUUUGUUUGUGCCUUGUGGGGCACAUACACUCAAUUUGGUCAUUGCUGAUGCUGCCAAAAGCUCCAAAGAUGCCAUAUCAUUUUUUGGCAUUGUGCAGAAGCUAUACUGCCUGUUUUCUGCCUCUACACAGAGAUGGGCCAUCCUCAAGAAACACGUCAACCUUUCACUCAAAAUGUGGUCAGAAACCAGAUGGGAGAGCAGAGUGAAAGCUGUGGAGCCUCUGCGAUAUGAAGCCGCAGCUGUGAGAGAGGCACUGCUUGAGGUGAGAAACCAGGCCAAAGACCCAAUCAUCAGGAUUGAAGCCCAGUCUCUGGCAGAAGAAGUGGGAUCAUUCCGCGUUUCACUGUGCACAGUGGUCUGGUAUGAUGUGUUAAGUCAAAUUCAGCAGGUGAGCAAACUCCUGCAGUCCCAAACAAUGCAACUGAAUGUAGCAGUAAGUCUACUGAAAAAGACUGAAAAAACUCUCGAAUCCUACAGAGCCACAGGCUUUGUGGCUGCACAAACAUCAGCCAAGGACAUGUGUGAAGACAUGAAUGUGGACGCAGUCCUUGUGCGAAAGCGGCUGAAGUCAACAAAGAGGCACUUCUCAUAUGAGUCUC